UCCCCUUGGUGGAGUCCAAUUUGACAGC
rnacentral:piRNA from 1 species